rnacentral:rRNA from 1 species
CCUACGGGUGGCAGCAGUGGGGAAUCUUCCACAAUGGGGGAAACUCUGAUGCAGCAACGCCGCGUGAGUGAAGAAGUAUUUCGGUAUGUAAAGCUCUAUCAGCAGGGAAGAACAAAGACGGUACCUGACUAAGCAGCCCCGGCUAACUACGUGCCAACAGCCGCGGUAAAACGUAGGGUGCAAGCGUUCUCCGGAUUUACUGGGCGGAAAGGGAGCGUAGACGGCGCGGCAAGUCUGAAGUGAAAGGCAGGGGCUUAACCCAUGAACUGCUUUGGAUACUGCCAUGCUAGAGGGCUAGAGAGGUAAGUGGAAUUCCUAGUGUAGCGGUGAAAUGCGUAGAUAUUAGGAGGAACACCAGUGGCGAAGGCGGCUUACUGGACAGUAACUGACGUUGAGGCUCGAAAGCGUGGGGAGCAAACAGGAUUAGAUACCCUUGUAGUC